AACAUGGAGGCAUAUGUCAUCUACACAAAUAAAGGCAUCAACAUCUGGACUCGGUCCAACACCAGUUAAAAGGCUGCAUAUAGAAUUGCUGGAUGAGGAAGAGUUUCCAACAAAUUUAUCAGAAAUUCAACAAACUCUAGAUUCCUCAUAUGAGCCUCUGUUGCAGAGCCUUCUGAAACAAGUGGGAUGGACAUCUCUUGUGAUUACACCGAUGCAAAGUACAUUGUUUUUGAAAGCUCUCUCAGAGAGCUUUUUAAAAUAUGUCCUUUUUGCAAGAAUAACUGCAAUGUACAGCGAAGUCGGCUUGGGACAUUUGUGUCAUUCUGUCAGGUCUGCGAACACUGUCAGUAUACCAAAAAAUGGCAGAGCCAGCCUGUGAAAGGAAGCACCCCAGUUGGAAACCUGCAAAUGUCAGCAGCAGUGUAUUUCACUGGUGGAUCAUUUAUUCAAAUGCAUAUGAUUUGCAGAGCUAUGAAUCUACAAAUUCACCACUUCAGAUCAUUCAGAAUGCAUGCUCGGUUGUUUCUUGAACCAGUCAUAUUUCACAAGUGGAAGAUGGAUCAGCAGGCCAUGUUCCAGUCACUACAACCGUUGGGCAAAAUUGCACUGAGUGGCGAUAUGCGUGCUGAUUCUCCAGGACAUUCUGCCAAAUAUGGCAGCUAUACUUUAUUGCAUCUUGACAGCAAUAAAAUUCUGGACAUUCAACUAAUACACGCACAUUUCUCUUGCAGUAUUUAGUAAUGCUUCAUGUUUU